GAUGAACGCUGGCGGCGUGCCUAAUACAUGCAAGUCGAGCGAACAGAUCAGGAGCUUGCUCCUCUUACGGUAUCGGCGGACGGGUGAGUAACACGUGGAUAACCUACCUAUAAGACUGGGAUAACUUCUGGAAACCGGAGCUAAUACCUGAUAAUAUAUUGAACCGCAUGGUUCAAUAGUUAGUGGCGGUUUUUCUGUCACUUGUAGAGGGAGCCGUGCCGCAUUAUCUAGUUGGUGAGGUGAGGGCUUACCAAGGCGACGGUGCGUAGCCGAACGGAGAGGGUGAUCGGGCACCGUGGAACUGGGACACGGUCCAGACUCCUACGGGAGGCAGCAGCAGGGAAUCUUACGCAAUGGGCGAAAGCCUGACGGAGAAGCGCCGAGGGAGUGAUGAAGGUCUUCGGAUCGUAAAACUAUGCUACUAGGGAAGAACAAAUGUGUAAGUAACUAUGAACGUCUUGACGGUACCUAAACAGAAAGCACCGGCUAACUACGUG
rnacentral:rRNA from 1 species